AUUGAACGCUUCGGCAGGCUUAACACAUGCAAGUCGAGCGAGCGGCGGACGGGUGAGUAAUGCUUAGGCAUCUGCCUCUUAGUGGGGGACAACAUCUCGAAAGGGAUGCUAAUACCGCAUCCUAAUACAUGAGCCUAAGCCGGAUUAGCUAGUGGGUGGGGUAAAGGCGUACCAAGGCGACGAUCUUUAGCCGGUCUGAGAGGAUGAUCCGCCACACUGGGACUGAGACACGGUCCAGACUCCUACGGGAGGCAGCAGUGGGGAAUAUUGGACAAUGGGCGCAAGCCUGAUGCAGCCAUGCCGCGUGUGUGAAGAAGGCCUUCGGGUUGUAAAGCACUUUCAGCGGGGAGGCGUUACCCGCAGAAGAAGCACCGGCUAACUCCGUGCCAGCAGCCGCGGUAAUAC
rnacentral:rRNA from 1 species